GUAAUUUUAAGAAUGUAUAUGUAAUAAAAAAAAGUUCAUCGGGCCAAAAAUGUUUGUUGAUUGAAGAGACUUGUCAAACCGUGAACAGUUUUUCAAAAUCACGAACCUUUUUGGAAGAUAGAUCUUCUGAAAGGGUUCAUUACGUUUAAAGAAAAAUCACGGUUGAGGAAUAAUUAUAACAAAUUUGAAAACAAGAUAAAAAGGAAUGACAAUAUAAUGAAGGGGAGAAAAAAAGAAAAAAACUGAAGAGAAAGAAACAGAAAAAAGAAAAAAGANAA
rnacentral:lncRNA from 1 species